GCCUGGGUGGCUCAGUGGUUGAGCAUCUGCCUUCCACUCAGGGUAUGAUCCUGGAGUCCUGGGAUCGAGUCCCACUUUGGGCU
rnacentral:tRNA from 1 species